GAAGUCCAUUCAUCUAAAUUCAGGUUUUGCGAGAGACUUACCAGGUUUUGGAGUUGCGAGAUAACAUGGGGGUAAAUACCUUUCUAUAUCUCAUUAAAUAUACCAGCUCACUCAUGCCUUAUUAUAACUAAGAAUUUAAAGAAGUGGAAGUAAUUCUAAGUUCAGGGGUUUCUUUUGACAUCAUUAUUCAUUAUGCAUAUAGGAGAAUCUAUUAUGCCAUGACUAAAGAAUUUGAGAGACUUUACAUACAAAUGAAAGAAUGGUAACCAGAGCUCAGUCUUUUACCUCAAUAUUCUUUUCAUUCCCCCUAUUGUAAACCCUUUCUUUAUGAAGUUAUUUAUUUUAUAUCGAUCUAUCGCUGUAUAUUAAUAUCAUUUGAAGGUUGUUAUAUGAGAAGUAUCACUAAAUCACAUCUGUUGAUAUUGUUUCAUGAUGAUUAUCAUCACACUGAAGCAUUGAAGAUCUUUCCUCUGCUUGUGCCCUUGCUCGUUGCAUGUUCUAUGAUUGGUUUCUCAUUAUAUCCUCACAUCUGCAAAGCUUGAAGCUUUUUUAUAACUUAAAGACAGUUAAAUGUGGUGUUGCUCGUUUUCUGUGAUGUUUUCAGAUUGGUGGAGGAAGUUUUGAGAAUUUACAAACGCGAGGUCCAACAAAAAAUUUUGGAAACUGUUGACAUCUCCGCUGAACGAGUCAGAAAACUUUUAAUUUAACUAUUUUGCAGGUGUACUGGUUGCUUUUAUGUGAAAUUUUCAUUGUUGGCCUUUAGUUCGUUCGAAGAAGUAAGAUCUGACGUUUGACCACAAGGUUCAUUAUAUCAGCUUUUUUAACUCUGUUUUUUUAUUUCAUUCUUGUCUAUUGGUUAUAAUACAGUGGUGGCUUGGGGAGUUACUGCAACACCCCAAAUUUAUCCUUGGUUGAAUUUAUCUAUUUAUUUUAUAACUGCGUAUGUUUAUUUUAUUAUUAUUGUCGUUGUUUUAAUUGCUCUAAGCUUCCCCUGUUGUUUUUUUUUUUAAUCUAUAAAUAUUAUAAGGUGUCUUUAUUCUUUGGUUAAGUUCUGUAACAAACAAAAUCAACGUUCGGUAAUAAUAAUAAAAAAAAAGAAGAGGGAGAAAGUAAUUCCUUUUGUGAAGAACCCAUUUUGGUACUAAAGGUAGGUUGAUAACCCACAGCGAAAGGCAUUCUACUCAAUAAGGCGGAUACCUCGGAAUAGCAGAGAGAGAACGAGAAAAAUAAAAAAAUAAAAAAAGAGAGGAGAGGAAGAUAAAGAAAUGGAGGGAAAGAGAGCAAUUGGGUUUUAGAGAGAAUAGUUGUGCAUUUAAGGGAGCUGAGAACAACAGCAAGUAUGAAAUUUCUGGGAAACCAACAUGAGUUUGGCUGGAUUUUCUCAUAACUCUAAUCCUUUAGACCUGGUUUGGGUAAAUUUCUGUGCAUGCAUGGUUCAAUUUUCAAGUCUUGUUACUUUUAUUAAUGUUUUUUUUUCACUUACUUUUCUUAAUUGUUUCCUUUCUGCUGCUGCAACUCACAGCAAGUUUAGGAUUAUGUUAAAUUUGGGAUUCUUAAAUUAUUGGCAGUAUGGUUGGUUAAUUUUUGUAUUACCAAUAGGAAGUGGAGUUAGAGAAGAAGAGAAGUCUUUGGAGAACUAGGAGCUGUUGUUGCAGGAUUAAAGGAGGUGUUUAUAUGCAAUUGAGUGCUUUUGUUACUCAAAACUGAAAAAUCAGGUUGUUUUUCUUGCUUGAUCAUGUAAAUAUUUUUUUUUUUUGGGUCCUUAUAAGUUGUUUUGCUGAGAUUUAAUGUGCUAAUGGCUUAAUUGCUUCCUUUAAUAAUUAAUGCAGUGGGUGUAUGGGUAGCCAUUUAAUUACAUGACUAUGUGGCUAAAAUAAACAAUUGACAUGUUAGAAUUAUCAACAGGAUUGCGAGUUUUAAUUGAAGACCGUGUAUUGUUAUUACUUGAAUCAGUUAUGAUAGUUAAUUUGGUUGAUACAUUCAUGAAUGAGAAUUAAACUUUAACGGUGAUAUAGCCAAGUUUGGAAUAGGAAGUGUAGCUGAAUUGUGUUUAUGUAUCCUGCAAUGGUAUGGUGUUUUUUUUGCAGUUUUAAGUUUGUGGAUGUGUUGUUAAACUGGGGAUGUGCUGAGGCUCUGUUAUCUAUAACUAUUGUUAUUGAGAAGCAUCAUGUGUCUGAUGUGUCAUUGUAAGGAAACUUACAUUGAUGCUAUUGAAUGAAUUAAUAAUUUUUAUUCCUGAAGUUGAGGUUUGAGAAGGUUGAUUGGUGAUAGACGGAUUUCCUGUCCCGCGGUGAAGCCCGCAAAAGAAAUUAUGGGCGAUGGCCCCUGGGAAUAAUGCCCCAAAAGUUCGCUAUGCUGGAUUGACCUAUGUCAGAUUUCUAUCCCGCGGUGAAAGUCUACAAAAGAAAUCAUGGGCGGUGGCCCUGGGAAUAAUGCCCCAAAAAUAUGUAGGGUAUUUCUUUUCAA
rnacentral:lncRNA from 1 species